rnacentral:rRNA from 1 species
GACAGAGGUGCCGAGCGUUAGGCGGAAUCACUGGGCUUAAAGCGUGUGUAGGCGGGCCGUUAAGUGUCUUGUGAAAUCCCCCGGCUCAACCGGGGAAUUGCUGGGCAUACUGGCGGUCUUGAGCAAUCUAGGGGCAGAAGGAACAAGUGGUGGAGCGGUGAAAUGCGUAGAUAUCACUUGGAACGCCAAAGGUGAAGACAGUCUGCUGGGGAUUUGCUGACGCUGAGACACGAAAGCCAGGGGAGCGAACGGG